rnacentral:rRNA from 1 species
UACGAAGGGGGCUAGCGUUGCUCGGAAUCACUGGGCGUAAAGGGCGCGUAGGCGGGUCUUUAAGUCAGGGGUGAAAUCCUGGAGCUCAACUCCAGAACUGCCUUUGAUACUGAGGAUCUUGAGUACGGGAGAGGUGAGUGGAACUGCGAGUGUAGAGGUGAAAUUCGUAGAUAUUCGCAAGAACACCAGUGGCGAAGGCGGCUCACUGGCCCGAUACUGACGCUGAGGCACGAAAGCGUGGGGAGCAAACAGG